rnacentral:rRNA from 1 species
AUGACGUCAAGUCCUCAUGGCCUUUAUGUCCAGGGCUACACACGUGCUACAAUGGGUUGUACAAAGGUUGCGAACUCGCGAGAGUAAGCCAAUCCCAAAAAAGCAACUCUUAGUUCGGAUUGGAGUCUGCAACUCGACUCCAUGAAGCUGGAAUCGCUAGUAAUCGUGGAUCAGCAUGCCACGGUGAAUUACCGGUUCCCGGGCCUU